rnacentral:misc_RNA from 1 species
UCUUGCUGUACAAAUUCGAAAUUUGCCUUGAGGAAAUUUCGUUAAGAACGAUUCCGCAAAAUUAUCGUCAUUCCGUUAGCCCGUAGCUUAUAUCAGCAAAAUUUGCGUGUAGUCGACCCAAGUGGAUUAGGGUGAAAAUUUGAUGUAUUAGAUCUUGUGCCUGCAGCAUCAGCAUUACAGGGUUUCUACGGAACUAAUUGAACUGAUUUCUCAUCGAUCGAAUUUGCUGCUCGAUCUGCCUCCUCGAGGUACGCCACUCGAUCGGAUCCUGGUAAACUAAUUGGCUGCAAUUUACACCACCCUUGGGCGACACCAGACAUCUUGGAAUCGAUGGGGAUUCUUCACUUGAACCUGAUUCGCGGACCUGCGAUUGCUGAGGAGGAUGGAGAAGUUUUAAAAUUAUAUAAAUCGCCGAUCGAAGAACUGCGUGAAAAGUUCGUUCGUUGACUUCAGCCAAGACUGACCGAGUGCCGGAAGAAAUAAAGAUACUACAGUAGAUAUCGCGAACAAAAAGAUCCAUCAUAAUGUUUUUGGUAUUUCGAAACGAGGCAGCUGCGGUUGGUCUGACUCUCGAUGCGCCGUUAAACGUGACCUGACCCGAGUCGAGUAAAGUCAAG